GACGAACGCUGGCGGCACGCUUAACACAUGCAAGUCGAACGAGAGAAGAGAAGCUUGCUUUUCUGAUCUAGUGGCGGACGGGUGAGUAACACGUGAGCAAUCUGCCUUUCAGAGGGGGAUACCGAUUGGAAACGAUCGUUAAUACCGCAUAACAUAAUUGAACCGCAUGAUUUGAUUAUCAAAGAUUUAUCGCUGAAAGAUUAGCUCGCGUCUGCUUAGCUAGUUGGUAAGGUAACGCCUUACCAAGGCGACGAUCAGUAACCGGAGUGAGGAGAUGAUCGGCAGCCUCGUGAGUGAGACAGGGCUCGGGAAUCUUCGGCAGGGAGCAGAAGCGUGUAUUGCACAAGGGAGGUGAGUGAGGUGGGUCGACGGAGCGUGAGGGAAGAUGAUUUGAGGAGUGUAAACGUCUGUCUAAAGGGACGAAUAUUGACGGUACCUGAGGAGGAAGCCCCGGCUAACUACGUG
rnacentral:rRNA from 1 species